rnacentral:lncRNA from 1 species
GAGGAACAAGUGAAUAGGUUUACCCUUCUUGAUGUACUCUUAGAUCCCUUCUGCACUGAGAUUUGACUACUGACUAUCUGAUUAUCCACAGAAACUGAAACAGAGCAAAUGAGCAGUUCUCUGAGGUACGGAGGACAAGAGUGAAGCACCCGUUCAGAACUAUGCAGACCCGAGACCAGAACAUUCGCGUGAGAAAGGUACCACAACUCUCCCAGAGCAUCGCACUGCAACCGCAAUGGAAGGAUCUAUUCUCUGCUCUAAGAAGAGAGCGUUUUCCCUGCAGAAUCUGCUACAAGGU